CUUGCUCUCUAAGGCGUGUAAGACAAAGUUGCGUGCGUGGUGUCCGCCCCAAAAGAUCGGCCUCUCAGUUUUAGAGGCCAAUGAAAGAGGCAGGAAGUGAAGGUGGGCAGGAACUAAAGAUGAUGGGCUUGGGAAGAAGCCAGUCAACUGCCAGGCGGGCUCCGUGAGUAGUAGGGAUUGGAAGAGUUUUCAUUGGAAUGACAGGACAACAACCAACCAGAAGCUCGGACGUGCCUGGGCAAAGUCCUAGUGGGAGGAGGUCAUUUACAAGGCAACUUGUGACUGGAAAAGCGAAAUGGAUCAUCACACAUCCCUCAGUCUUUUCAAGACCCUGAAAACACAGGGUGCCUGACUCAUAAUAGACACUUGAUGAAGGUUGAAUGGAUGAAUGCAUUACAGAUAAUUGGACAAUAGAAAUUGCACAGAGAUAAACACAUAAGGAGACCCUAAUCUAGCCUGGAAACCCUGAACUGAGUUGGAGUUCAUGAUUCUUAACUUACCUGUGGAUCUUUUAAAAACCACUCAUACAACAAAAAUAAAAAAAUAAAAAAUAAA